rnacentral:rRNA from 1 species
AUUGAACGCUGGCGGAAUGCUUUACACAUGCAAGUCGAACGGCAGCACGGACUUCGGUCUGGUGGCGAGUGGCGAACGGGUGAGUAAUGUAUAGGAACGUGCCCAGUCGUGGGGGAUAACGUAGUGAAAAUUACGCUAAUACCGCAUACGAUCUAUGGAUGAAAGCGGGGGAUCGCAAGACCUCGCGCGAUUCGAGCGGCCGAUAUCAGAUUAGGUAGUUGGUGGGGUAAAGGCCCACCAAGCCAACGAUCUGUAGCUGGUCUGAGAGGACGACCAGCCACACUGGAACUGAGACACGGUCCAGACUCCUACGGGAGGCAGCAGUGGGGAAUUUUGGACAAUGGGCGAAAGCCUGAUCCAGCCAUUCCGCGUGCAGGAUGAAGGCCCUCGGGUUGUAAACUGCUUUUGUACAGAACGAAAAGGUUUCUACUAAUACUAGGAGCUCACGACGGCACUGUAAGAAUAAGCACCGGCUAACUACGUGCCAGCAGCCGCCGUAA